rnacentral:rRNA from 1 species
UACGUAGGGUGCGAGCGUUGUCCGGAAUUAUUGGGCGUAAAGGGCUCGUAGGCGGUCUGUCGCGUCGGGAGUGAAAACUCAGGGCUUAACCCUGAGCCUGCUUCCGAUACGGGCAGACUAGAGGUAUGCAGGGGAGAAUGGAAUUCCUGGUGUAGCGGUGAAAUGCGCAGAUAUCAGGAGGAACACCGAUGGCGAAGGCAGGUCUCUGGGCCGAUACUGACGCUGAGGAGUGAAAGCGUGGGGAGCAAACAGG